UCUUUCUAUUUCCAGCUAUGCCUUAUGGGCGUCCAUAUAUGGCUCCAUAUGCCGUACCUGGGGUAUGUGGCUCCACAGGCGCCGACACAGCCUGUCAACUACAGUAGGAUGUUUAACCCCCACAUCUCCUCUGCGACCUAUGACGUCCAGUUCUGUCACCACUUCCAGCAGCAGGCCUGUGUUGGAAUGCACUAGAAUGACUGAAAUGACUGAAUCAGCAUGGAAGUAAAACUGUCGUUUCCCAAGACAUCCCAGGAACUGUUUUUCAAACUGAAACCACACCUUUGGUAAUCAUCUAUUUAAGGCCAGGUGUGUCUAGCUCACACUUUUAAUCAGUUUGUUGUGAGGCAAGUCAAGUUGAUCUAUUGUUCUGGUGGUGAGCAGGUCAUUUCUUACAUUUGUGUGCUCUGUAUUGCAGUUAUUUUCUUAUUCAGGGUCAUUAUAUUUAAUUGGUGGUGUCACCAUUUG
rnacentral:lncRNA from 13 species